CUUAGGUCUCCAGUGAGGCCUGAGAGUUUGCAUGUCUAACAAGCUCUAGCUGCUGGUUUGGAGACCAUACUUUUAGAACACUGGUCUACAGAUCUCCUGUCUUGUCCUUUCUAGUCUAGAAAUCAUGCUUGUUUGCUCAUGGGUUCUAAGUGACAGCCAAUCACCGCCUUCCUUUGCCUUAGUGGGGAAUGAAAGAGACAAAUUUCUCCCUAACUCUUUGGCCAAAACUCUUCCAGAGGCUAAUGACUUCUCAUUUCUCCUUCUCUGCUCAUUUGCAUCCUCUGUCACUGAGUACAGGUCUCAUCUCCUCUAAGCACUUGGUGGGAAGAGUUCAGCCUCAUCCCUCAUGGCAGCUCCAGUCAACACCCAACAGAGACCAACCAAAGCCAAGUUGCUGGAAAGGGACUCUGAGUGGCCAGUUUGGGUCAUGUGACUCCAUUGCCCACGGGAGCAGUCUCUCUGAGAAGAAACAGUGUCAGAGCAGGUGGAUAAGCAACAUUCCUGCCUCAGUCAUAGGCCCCAGUGUUCUCCACUGUCCGUCAGUAAGCCAGGCUUGCUUGUCCUGCACAUCUCACUGACACCAACAGUGGAAGUGCUGAUUUCUUCCUGCUGGCAGAAGCCCAGAUGCACCAGUGAUGCGAUGUACAGAAAUGAUUUUUCCAAUGACUGUGCCAAUGUAACUGCGGCCAAACCACCCCAGGGACCAACGGGAGCUGGUGAUGACUGUGCCAUGUUCGGGAGGUCACAUGAGGCCAGCAGAGGAUGGAAGAGACCAGCAAAAAGUAAGAUGCUAUACUAAGGUGUACAAAAAUUCUACUUCAUUGAAGAUACAAAGAUGCAUAAGAGAGAUCCCCUCUCCAAGGAACCUGAAGUCUAGAGGAGGAAACAGAUGGAUAACCCCUAGCAAUGCCACGUGGUCAGGAAGGAACUAAGCAGGAAGACCAUGUCCUGUCUUGUCCACUUAGCAGCUGUGUACCUGGAGGAGCUCUUACUCCUCAACAUUGUUGCAGGAGUCAAACAGACUCAGGUACGUAAAGCCCUAGAUUGGUAAACACACACAAAUGUCAGUCCUUCUGCUGAAUCACCU
rnacentral:lncRNA from 1 species